rnacentral:tRNA from 1 species
GGACUGGUAGUUCAAUGGUAAAAUUCUUGCCUUCUAUGUGGGUGAUCUAGGUUCAAUUCCCAGCCAAUUCA